rnacentral:rRNA from 1 species
UGAGGAAUAUUGGUCAAUGGGCGAGAGCCUGAACCAGCCAAGUAGCGUGCAGGAUGACGGCCCUAUGGGUUGUAAACUGCUUUUGUAUGGGGAUAAAGUCAAUCACGUGUGAUUGUUUGCAGGUACCAUACGAAUAAGGACCGGCUAAUUCCGUGCCAGCAGCCGCGGUAAUACGGAAGGUCCGGGCGUUAUCCGGAUUUAUUGAGUUUAAAGGGAGCGUAGGCUGGAGAUUAAGUGUGUUGUGAAAUGUAGACGCUCAACGUCUGACUUGCAGCGCAUACUGGUUUCCUUGAGUUCGCACAACGUUGGCGGAAUUCGUCGUGUAGCGGUGAAAUGCUUAGAUAUGACGAAGAACUCCGAUUGCGAAGGCAGCUGACGGGAGCGCAACUGACGCUGAAGCUCGAAGGUGCGGGUAUCGAACAGGAUUAGAUACCCUGGUAGUCCGCACAGUAAACGAUGGAUGCCCGCUGUUGGUACUUGGUAUCAGCGGCUAAGCGAAAGCAUUAAGCAUCCCACCUGGGGAGUACGCCGGCAACGGUG